ACGGACGGACGGACGGACGGCCGGCCGGACGGCAAGUUGGUGGUGUCGUUGGUUUGCGUGUGGGCGUGGAGAUGGACCCCAAGUUCCCCCCUCCCCCACCGCCAAACAAAGCGGAGCCCACCUCCGCGGCGACGGCCACCACCACCACCUCCUCCCCCUCCACCACGCCCGCCCAGCACCACCACCACCAGCACCAGCAGCAGCAGCAGCAGCUGGAUCGCGAGCAGUACCACCAUCCGCCGCAGCAGGAGCAGCCGCCGCCGCCGCAGCACCAGCUGCAAAUCCAGGUGCAUCAGCAGCAGGAGGACGCGGGCGGAGGCGGGGGGAAGG
rnacentral:lncRNA from 1 species